rnacentral:rRNA from 1 species
AUGUGCAAGCAUGUGUUCUUGCGCAUAGUGGAUGGUGUGAAGGAUUGUGAUCCUUACUUAACUCUGAGGAAGGAUUGCACAACACUUGGAUUCUCGCCUCUCAAAAAAUACAUUGUUGCUAUGAGAAUGGUUGAACCGGCGGUGGAGUUUAUUGGAACCGACGGUGGAGUUUGCUGGAACCAGCGAUGGAGUUUGCCGGCGGUGGCAAAAGCUAGACUCGGGAGGAGAUUUACUACUACGGCGAGGUUUUUGUUGCAACCAGGCAACCUAGUGCUAGAAGCGGCCGAAGCACUAGUUCAACCAGCCACAGCAGCAGCUAAGGAUGGCAAUUUUACCCAUGGACAUGGAUACCCAUGGAUAUCCGACCCGAAUGGACAGGAUUUGGAUAUACUUUUGUGCCCAUGGGCAGCGCCCAAACCCGACACGAUUGCUCGUGGAUAG